CCUACGGGAGGCAGCAGUGGGGAAUAUUGGACAAUGGGGGGAACCCUGAUCCAGCCAUGCCGCGUGUGUGAAGAAGGCCCUCGGGUUGUAAAGCACUUUCAGUGAGGAAGAACGCCUGGUGGUUAAUACCCAUCAGGAAAGACAUCACUCACAGAAGAAGCACCGGCUAACUCCGUGCCAGCAGCCGCGGUAAUACGGAGGGUGCGAGCGUUAAUCGGAAUUACUGGGCGUAAAGCGCGCGUAGGUGGCUUGAUAAGCCGGUUGUGAAAGCCCCGGGCUCAACCUGGGAACGGCAUCCGGAACUGUCAAGCUAGAGUGCAGGAGAGGAAGGUAGAAUUCCCGGUGUAGCGGUGAAAUGCGUAGAGAUCGGGAGGAAUACCAGUGGCGAAGGCGGCCUUCUGGACUGACACUGACGCUGAGGUGCGAAAGCGUGGGUAGCAAACAGGAUUAGAUACCCCAGUAGUC
rnacentral:rRNA from 1 species